AGAGUGGGGGAUAACGUAGCGAAAGUUACGCUAAUACCGCAUACGAUCUGAGGAUGAAAGUGGGGGAUCGCAAGACCUCAUGCUCAUGGAGUGGCCGAUAUCUGAUUAGCUAGUUGGUAGGGUAAAAGCCUACCAAGGCGACGAUCAGUAGCUGGUUUGAGAGAACGACCAGCCACACUGGAACUGAGACACGGUCCAGACUCCUACGGGAGGCAGCAGUGGGGAAUUUUGGACAAUGGGGGCAACCCUGAUCCAGCAAUGCCGCGUGAGUGAAGAAGGCCUUCGGGUUGUAAAGCUCUUUUGUCAGGGAAGAAACGGUGUUUCCUAAUACGGAAUGCUAAUGACGGUACCUGAAGAAUAAGCACCGGCUAACUACGUGCCAGCAGCCGCGGUAAUA
rnacentral:rRNA from 1 species